CCUACGGGUGGCAGCAGUAGGGAAUAUUGCUCAAUGGGGGAAACCCUGCAGCAGCAACGCCGCGUGGAGGAUGAAGGUUUUAGGAUUGUAAACUCCUUUUGUUAGAGAAGAUAAUGACGGUAUCUAACGAAUAAGCACCGGCUAACUCCGUGCCAGCAGCCGCGGUAAUACGGAGGGUGCAAGCGUUACUCGGAAUCACUGGGCGUAAAGAGGGCGUAGGCGGGGUAGCAAGUCAGGUGUGAAAUCCUUUGGCUUAACCAUAGAACUGCAUUUGAAACUGUUAAUUUAGAGUAUGGGAGAGGGAAGGUGAAAUCCUGGGUGAAGGGGAAAA
rnacentral:rRNA from 1 species